CCCUUAGAUGUUCUGGGCCGCACGCGCGCUACAAUGAUGAAUUCAACGAGUUUAUAACCUUGGUUGAAAAGCCUGGGUAAUCUUUUGAACUUUCGUCGUGAUGGGGCUAGACCCUUGCAAUUAUUGGUCUCCAACGAGGAAUUCCUAGUAAACGCAAGUCAUCAGCUUGCAUUGAUUACGUCCCUGCCCUUUGUACACACCGCCCGUCGCACCUACCGAUUGAAUGGUCCGGUGAAAUCUUCGGAUUGAGACUUUGAUUUCUUCACGGAAAUCGCUGUUUUAAAAAGUUGAUUAAACCUUACCAUUUAGAGGAAGGUGAAGUCGUAACA
rnacentral:rRNA from 1 species